rnacentral:rRNA from 1 species
UUAAUUGAAGAGUUUGAUCAUGGCUCAGAUUGAACGCUGGCGGCAGGCCUAACACAUGCAAGUCGAACGGUAACAGGGAGCAGCUUGCUGCUCUGCUGACGAGUGGCGGACGGGUGAGUAAUGUCUGGGAAACUGCCUGAUGGAGGGGGAUAACUACUGGAAACGGUAGCUAAUACCGCAUAACGUCU